ensembl:snRNA U6 U6 spliceosomal RNA
GGUUUGGCAGCAUAUACUAAAAUUCAUAUACUAAAACUGGAAUGAUACAGAAAAGAUUAGUAUGGCGCCUGUGCAAGGAUGACAUGCACAUCUGUGAAGUGUUCCAUAUUUUU